UACAGAGGUGGCAAGCGUUGUUCGGAAUUACUGGGCGUAAAGGGCGCGUAGGCGGUUCGAUAAGUCCCGUGUGAAAUCCCUCGGCUCAACUGAGGAAUGGCACGGGAAACUGACGGGCUUGAGUUCGGGAGAGGGAAGCGGAAUUCCGGGUGUAGCGGUGAAAUGCGUAGAUAUCCGGAGGAACACCGGUGGCGAAGGCGGCAUCCUGGACCGAUAUUGACGCUGAUGCGCGAAAGCCAGGGGAGCAAAGCGGG
rnacentral:rRNA from 1 species